GUGCUCGCUCACUUCAGCAGCACAUAUACUAAAAUUGGAACGAUACCCAGAAUAUUAGCAUGGCCCCUGCAAAAGGAUGACAAGCAAAUUCAUGAAGCGUUCCAUAUUUUU
ensembl:snRNA U6 U6 spliceosomal RNA